rnacentral:tRNA from 1 species
AUUCUUUUAGUAUAAAAAGUAUAUUUGACUUCCAAUCAAAAGGUUUAAUAAUAAAAAGAAUA